rnacentral:rRNA from 1 species
UACGUAGGUGGCAAGCGUUAUCCGGAAUUAUUGGGCGUAAAGAGCGCGCAGGUGGUUGAUUAAGUCUGAUGUGGAAGCCCACGGCUUAACCGUGGAGGGUCAUUGGAAACUGGUCGACUUGAGUGCAGAAGAGGGAAGUGGAAUUCCAUGUGUAGCGGUGAAAUGCGUAGAUAUUAGGAGGAACACCAGUAGCGAAGGCGGCUUCCUGGUCUGUAACUGACACUGAGGCGCGAAAGCGUGGGGAGCAAACAGGAUUAGAUACCCU